UACGUAGGGUGCAAGCGUUAAUCGGAAUUACUGGGCGUAAAGCGUGCGCAGGCGGCUUUGCAAGACAGAUGUGAAAUCCCCGGGCUUAACCUGGGAACUGCAUUUGUGACUGCAUGGCUGGAGUGCGGCAGAGGGGGAUGGAAUUCCGCGUGUAGCAGUGAAAUGCGUAGAUAUGCGGAGGAACACCGAUGGCGAAGGCAAUCCCCUGGGCCUGCACUGACGCUCAUGCACAAAAGCGUGGGGAGCAAACAGG
rnacentral:rRNA from 1 species